UCUGGCACCUUCGGUGUCCGAGUUGUAAUUUGAAGAAGGUAACUUUGGAGUUGGCUCUUGUCUAUGUUCCUUGGAACAGGACGUCACAGAGGGUGAGAAUCCCGUGCGAUGAGAUGCCCAAUUCUAUGUAAAGUGCUUUCGAAGAGUCGAGUUGUUUGGGAAUGCAGCUCUAAGUGGGUGGUAAAUUCCAUCUAAAGCUAAAUAUUGGCGAGAGACCGAUAGCGAACAAGUACAGUGAUGGAAAGAUGAAAAGAACUUUGAAAAGAGAGUGAAAAAGUACGUGAAAUUGUUGAAAGGGAAGGGCUUGAGAUCAGACUUGGUAUUUUGCGAUCCUUUCCUUCUUGGUUGGGUUCCUCGCAGCUUACUGGGCCAGCAUCGGUUUGGAUGGUAGGAUAAUGACUAAGGAAUGUGGCUCUACUUCGGUGGAGUGUUAUAGCCUUGGUUGAUACUGCCUGUCUAGACCGAGGACUGCGUCUUUUGACUAGGAUGUUGGCAUAAUGAUCUUAAGCCACCCGUCUUA
rnacentral:rRNA from 1 species